GCCGGAAUGGUGUAGCGGUUUGAGCGCUGGACUAUGACACUGGAGACCAGGGCUCGAAUCCCUGCUUGGCCA